AAUUACAUUAUUUAAAAAAAUUAUAUAUUAAUAUAAUAGUGGAAUUUUCAUAAAAUAAAUAAAUAAUCAACGAAAAUUUACCUAACAUUUUCUAUUCACACGUGUUAUAUAUAUACAUAAUUAAGAAAUUAUAAAAUAUUACACAGAUUUAUAAAAACGUUGUUUGCUAUAACACAUUUAAGGAGAAAGCUUUGAUUAUUAUAUGCAUAUAUAAUAUUUAAAUUUAUAUUAACUUUAUUAAUUUUUUAUUAAUUAUAUAAAAGUUUCUAUUUCAACAUUCCACUGUGUAAUAAAAGUAAACAAAAGAUGUUUAAAUUGCAUUUUAUUAAAAUACUUAUUCACUUGUGAGUUUCUUUUAAGUGUAAACCUGCACAAAAUAUAGUUGUAAAAAAAAAAAAAACUAUUUUAAAUGUAUGUUACUGUACACAAUUUAGUGUAUAUAAAUAUUUUAAUAUAUAUUUUUAGUAUUUUUAACACUUAAAUGGUAUUUGUGAACAAUGAUAAGAAUUUAUCCUUACCCUUUUAGCAAUAAUGUUAAAUCAUUACCGGAUCCUCCUCCUGGUAAAUCAAGGGACAUAAAAAAUAUUGAAAGUAGAAAAUAUAAAAACGACAAAACUUGGUUAUAUGAAGCAAAAAAUAAUUUAAAAAAAUGUUUUCAUUUGUGUGAUAUAUGUUCAAAAAAUUUUAUUCAAAUGAGCCAUUUAGUAGAAAACACCAAUGUGCAUUAUGAGCACGUUUUGAAUAGCAGACAUUUAAAAAAUAAAGUAGAAAAAGAUGAACAUAAAAAAAAUACAUAUAAUAUCAAAUUGUGUGAAAAUAAUGAUAAAAUAAAAUCUAAUAAUGCAUCUCACGGUGUAAAAAAUAACAUACUUAAGAUAAAUAGUAAUAAACCUAAAAAUACUAUUUGUAAUGAUAAAAGUAAUACAAGCGUAAAAUCAAUAAUGAGUAAUAGUAUAAUAUUUAGCAAUUCUUUAAAUUCUAAUGGAAAUGAUUAUUUAACGUUUAAUGAUGAUGUGUUUAUAUUUAUAGAUGAUUACUCAAAAAAAUAUUCAAAUAAGUAUAAAAAAAAUGAGCAUAAUUAUAAUGACAUACCACUAGAAAACAUGAACUGUUUAAAAUAUGAUGAUAACAUACUAAUAAAACAUAAUAAUAUAGCUGAUAUGAUAAUACACAUAAAAAAAUACAUUAAAAAUAAUAUUUCAUAUUUCGCUUGUAAACAUAUAGAAAUAAAUGAUUUAUGUAACUUAAAUAAUAAAAACAAUAAAUAUGACAACUUAAAUAUUUACAUGUAUGAUAAUAACACAUCCGAUUUAUCUAUGAGUGACUGUCUAAUAACCCCUAAUAAGGAAGAAAAUGACUUAUGCAGUUCAUUCAAUUUAACAGAUAUAAAUGUCAUUAAUAGUAAUGAUAAAAAGCAUAAACAAGAUGGAGCAAGUGAAAGGAGUGGACAAAAUUGUAAAAGUAGUACUCGAAAAAAUAAAACGCAUAUUGAAACGAGUAAGGAUGAAACGUCGAACUGUGAUAUUGUUGUGUACCAUGACGAAAGGAGUAAUCGUUGUGAAAAUGAAAUAAGUGAAGAUUAUGAUAAUAAGGAUUUUUCAAAAAAACAAAAGCUUAUAAAAACCAAGAAAUCCACAGAGUCAUUAAAUAAAAAAAAACAAAUACUAACAUUAAUUGAUGAACUGAAAGAAAAAUUAGCAAAGAGAAGAUAUUCUUAUUAUGAAAGUGAUGAAAAUAAAAAAAACAAAACAACUGAUAAUGUAUUUAGAUCUAAGCAAAAAAAAAAAAUAAUUACAGGGGACCAUAACGAAUACUCAACAAAUGAUAGUAUUAAUAAUAGUAAUUAUUCUGAAGAAAUAAUAGUAAAAAAAAAAUUUCAUAUAAAAAAUAAAAUGCUAAAUAGCCAUGAAAAAAAAAAUCUAAAUAACAAAAAAAAAAAAAACUAAUAAUCCAAACAAUGAUGAAUUUGAAAAAAAACAUACAAGAAAUGUAAAUUUACAUUUAGCUGCCCCCGAAACAAACUUACAAAAAAUAAAAGCAUUUAGAU
ensembl:lncRNA